rnacentral:rRNA from 1 species
AUCCAACCUGCCGUCUACUCUUGGACAGCCUUCUGAAAGGAAGAUUAAUACAAGAUGGCAUCAUGAGUCCGCAUGUUCACAUGAUUAAAGGUAUUCCGGUAGACGAUGGGGAUGCGUUCCAUUAGAUAGUAGGCGGGGUAACGGCCCACCUAGUCUUCGAUGGAUAGGGGUUCUGAGAGGAAGGUCCCCCACAUUGGAACUGAGACACGGUCCGA